CUUACCAUGCGCUAAGUAAGCAGCCAGAGACUCCAACCCCAGACCGAUGGGUUAAUACGCAGAAGGAAAAGGAAAGGGGGGGGGGACACACUUCGGGGAGCAGGACCUCGCCGAGGCCCCAGAGAGCUAACAGGAGCGGCCUCGAAGCUGCCUUAGAGGGUGGGGUUAGAGGAAUAUCUCUGGAAGAAGGAUCUAAGCUGGGACAUUGCUAUUUUUAAUUUUCACUCGAUUCCUAAAACAUCAAAGU
rfam:Neotoma lepida isolate 417 scaffold_1234, whole genome shotgun sequence.